GGGGAUGUAGCUCAAACAGUAGAGCGAUCGCUUUGCAUGCGAGAGGUACGGCACGCAUCUCCA
rnacentral:tRNA from 1 species